UUAAUGGAAAUUGAAAACACUAUCAAGUGCCUCUUCAUCUAAACCAUGCGCCAGAAAUAUGUCAACCCUCCGUAUCUUUUUCUAUUGGAAUACUAACCCAAUAAUAAUCAGAUGCUUUUUUAAUUUCUACACAACUUCCAAUCUUCAAAACUUUUGAUGUUUUCGUUUUCUAUACCAUACACCAUAAAUAUGGGUUUGUGUUUCACUGUGAAUUCCACUUUCUUUGUUUCUCAUUAUCUCAUACUUCGGUUUUGGAUUGCUAUCUCAUACAUCAGUUUUUUAUUGCAAGGGAAGAAGAUUGUAAACCCUACUAAUGGCUCGCCCAAUUGAAUCUGUUUAGGACAUCAAUGAGUCAAGUGAUUUGUGGAAGAUCGUUGUUAGGUGUAAAUAUUUAUGGUCUGUCACGAGUGCUUCAAAAAAAGAACAUAUAGAGAUGAUUUUGGUUGAUUCAAAGUUAGAUAUGAUUCAAGUCGUUGUCCCGCCUUAUUUGGUUUCAAAAUUCAAAGAUGAACUAUCUGUUGGUGCUUCAUACUUUAUGCAGAAUUUCAAAAUGACCUCGAAUGAUUUAUCUUUUAAGUCUACUAAUCAUAAUUUCAAAUUGGUAUUCUGUGGGUUAAGAAGAUUGAGCUGCCUGAUAUUCCUGUAAAUUACCUAAACAUACUUGGAUUGGAUGCCAUAUUUGAUGGUAAAUUCCAGUCUAAUGUGUUAGUUGGAUAAGAAUAGGAUCUGAAUUAUGAUUCAGGAUUAUGAGGGGUGAUUUCAACACACUCUUUCAUCUUCUGUUGGUCAUAUCAGAAUAAACGAUGCCGAUGCAAUUUCGAUUUACGUGUGGUGAUUACAGCGCACUCUUUCAUAUUCUGAUUUGGCUUACAAUUACAGUCAUUGAGGCAUGGGGCAGCUGGCUGCAGUGUGCUGUUGCGGGAGUUCAGAGGAAGGAUCGCGUUGGGUUGUAGUCGGAGCUGAGAUGCAGCGUCGACAAAAUCUUCAGUUGUUUUCUUAUUUGCUCCAGUUUCUUCUCUUCUUUGUUUUUGUUUCAAAUCUGUUUGUUUGAAUUAAAUAACAAAGUUUAUGUUUUUCAUAAACUUUGCAGUUAACUGUUGUUGUUGUUCUCUUGAAUUGGUAGAAUGAUUUGGGACAAAUUUGUGAUACUUGCAAUGGUAUAUGAGAGUGUUGUUAACAGGUUGUGAAUGGUGUGGAGGCUGUUUCUUUCUGUUCCAUUUUUCCAAUUGCUUACACUUAUACCUAUAAGAUAUAAUGUUAAGUGUUUAUCAUAUAAGCUAUAGACUUAAUUACUUAAAGAAAUAUUCAUCAUGUGCUGAUUUCAAAAUUCUUAAAUCAUGUAAUAGGAAAUCAAAACAUAUUUUGAUUACGGCAAUUUGACCCUCUUUUACUCUUUUGUUCUGCCCUAUAGAUUUAUACCUAUGUGUGUUGAUAGAAUAUUGUCCA